rnacentral:rRNA from 1 species
AGCGGAGGAAAAGAAACCAACAGGGAUUGCCCUAGUAACGGCGAGUGAAGCGGCAACAGCUCAAAUUUGAAAUCUGGCGCAAGCCCGAGUUGUAAUUUGUAGAGGAUGCUUCAGGGCAGCGGCCGGUCUAAGUUCCUUGGAACAGGACGUCAUAGAGGGUGAGAAUCCCGUAUGCGACCGGUUGGCACCCGUCACGUAGCUCCUUCGACGAGUCGAGUUGUUUGGGAAUGCAGCUCUAAAUGGGAGGUAAAUUUCUUCUAAAGCUAAAUACCGGCCAGAGACCGAUAGCGCACAAGUAGAGUGAUCGAAAGAUGAAAAGCACUUUGGAAAGAGAGUUAAAAAGCACGUGAAAUUGUUGAAAGGGAAGCGCAUGCAACCAGACUUGUCGGCGGUGUUCCGCCGGUCUUUUGACCGGUUCAUUCGCCGCCGGCAGGCCAGCAUCAUCUGGGAGCGCCGGAUAAAGGCGUAGGGAAUGUGGCUCCUCGGAGUGUUAUAGCCCUUCGCACAAUACGGCGCCUCCCGGGUGAGGUCCGCGCUUCGGCUAGGAUGCUGGCGUAAUGGUUGUCUGCGGCCCGUCUUGAAACACGGACCAAGGAGUCUAACAUCUAUGCGAGUGUUCGGGUGUCAAACCCCUACGCGUAAUGAAAGUGAACGGAGGUGGGAAGCGCAAGCUGCACCAUCGACCGAUCCUGAUGUCUUCGGAUGGAUUUGAGUAAGAGCAUAGCUGUUGGGACCCGAAAGAUGGUGAACUAUGCCUGAAUAGGGUGAAGCCAGAGGAAACUCUGGUGGAGGCUCGCAGCGGUUCUGACGUGCAAAUCGAUCGUCAAAUUUGGGUAUAGGGGCGAAAGACUAAUCGAACCAUCUAGUAGCUGGUUCCUGCCG